UACGUAGGGUGCGAGCGUUGUCCGGAUUUAUUGGGCGUAAAGGGCUCGUAGGCGGCGUGUCGCGUCGGGAGUGAAAGCCCGUUGCUUAACGGCGGGUUGGCUUUCGGUACGGGCAUGCUGGAGUGCGGCAGGGGAGACUGGAAUUCCUGGUGUAGCGGUGGAAUGCGCAGAUAUCAGGAGGAACACCGGUGGCGAAAGCGACUUCCUGGACCAAUACUGACGCUCAUGUGCGAAAGCGUGGGGAGCAAACAGG
rnacentral:rRNA from 1 species